CGAAAGCCUGACGGAGCAAUACCGCGUGAGGGAUGACGGCCUAUGGGUUGUAAACCUCUUUUUUCAGGGAGGAAUCAAAUGACGUGUACCUGAAGAAUAAGCAUCGGCUAACUCCGUGCCAGCAGCCGCGGUAAGACGGAGGAUGCAAGUGUUAUCCGGAAUCACUGGGCGUAAAGCGUCUGUAGGUGGUCCAAUAAGUCAACUGUUAAAUCUUGAGGCUCAACCUCAAAAUCGCAGUCGAAACUAUUAGACUAGAGUAUAGUAGGGGUAAAGGGAAUUUCCAGUGGAGCGGUGAAAUGCGUAGAGAUUGGAAAGAACAC
rnacentral:rRNA from 1 species